rfam:Protomyces lactucaedebilis strain 12-1054 BCR37scaffold_7, whole genome shotgun sequence.
GGCCUCGUGGCCCAAUGGUCAAGGCGUCCGUCUACGAAACGGGAAAUUCCGGGUUCGAUCCCCGGCGAGGCUU